GGAAGUGUAGUUCAAUAGUAAAACAUUUGCCUGGCAUGUAUAAGGGCCUAGGUUUGAUCCCCAGCACCA
rnacentral:tRNA from 1 species